rnacentral:rRNA from 1 species
GACGAACGCUGGCGGCGUGCCUAAUACAUGCAAGUCGAACGAAGCUUUUUUAACUGGUGCUUGCACCGACUUAAACAACUGAGUGGCGAACGGGUGAGUAACACGUGGGUAACCUGCCCCAAAGCGGGGGAUAACAUUUGGAAACAGAUGCUAAUACCGCAUAACCACAGAAACCACAUGGUUUCUGUGUCAAAGAUGGUUUCGGCUAUCACUUUGGGAUGGAACCGCGGCGUAUUAGCUAGUUGGUAAGGUAAUGGCUUACCAAGGCAAUGAUACGUAACCAAACUGGGAGGUUGAUCGGCCACAUUGGGACUGAGACACGGCGCAAACUCCUACGGGAGGCAGCAGUAGGGAAUCUUCCACAAUGGCCGAAAGUCUGAUGGAGCAACGCCGCGUGAGUGAAGAAGGUUUUCGGAUCGUAAAACUCUGUUGUUAGAGAAGAACGUGUGUGAGAGUAACUGCUCAUGCAGUGACGGUAUCUAACCAGAAAGCCACGGCUAACUACGUGCCAGCAGCCGCAGUAA